rnacentral:lncRNA from 1 species
CCUCGCCGCCGCCAAGCAGGUGCGGGGAGCCAGGCUCCGCGCGCAGGCGACGUACAAGGUGAAGCUGGUGACGCCCGAGGGCGAGGUGGAGCUGGAGGUCCCCGACGACGUCUACAUCCUGGACCAGGCCGAGGAGGAGGGCAUCGACCUGCCCUACUCCUGCCGCGCCGGCUCCUGCUCCUCCUGCGCCGGCAAGUUGGUGUCCGGCGAGAUCGACCAGUCCGACCAGAGCUUCCUCGACGACGACCAGAUGGAGGCAGGGUGGGUGCUCACCUGCCACGCCUACCCCAAGUCCGACAUCGUCAUCGAGACCCACAAGGAGGAGGAGCUCACCGCAUAAGCUGCUUACCCUGCCUCUCUUUGCAACAAGAUCGAGCUGAUAUCAUAUUAUCUCCCAUCAUGCAUGCAUGCAUGGAUAUCGCCAGAUACACCGAUUUGUUUGUGCUCGAAUGAAUUGCUCGAUGCAUGGUUUGCUCCAGUAAUAAUGUCUUCGAAUUACUACCUUUUUGUACCGUAAGAUAUACUACUGUCGUAAUACUAGCGUGUACUUAAUUCAACGUACUGAAAUGAAUCCUGAUGGCUGAGGUGUCUCUCUGAUUAAUAAUAUCUUCUUUUUUACUUAAGAUAAGAGACUGCUGAAUGUUGGUUGCUAACGGUGGUGGUUGAUGUUGAAGUUUUGUUGCUGCAAGUUGAUUGCUUCGCCGCGUUAUGCCUUGCCUUGUUUCUCAUUUAUGUAUUUUUGAUGAUGCAUCGUCGCACUAGGUAGCUCUUGAAUUGUGUUUGGGGGCACCUUGAAAUUAAUAAACAGUAAGGUAGGUCACAAUGUCUUCAACCCCCUUUCUAGAAACCACUCUAACAUCAAAUAGAAUAUUACUCUAUUGAUUAGUACAGAGAUGCUAUAUACACUUUGUCACAGUUUGUACAGAGAUUGUAGGUGAAUGCAAUUGAAUUAAACCAUAUGUGACAUGCACCGUGAAGUCGAAACCUUGCAACAUAGUGUCAGAAAUAACAAAUCGAUGUCUUACUUCAUUAGAUGUGGAACCAUCUACCCUCGUUGUUGAUCAUCAUAAUGGUUUUAUAAACCCCCAACAUGUUGUGUUUUAAAACGAUUGUACCAUGUUCUUGUUUCGACUGCCGGGGGGAGGGCUCGUGAUGACCUACUCUUUCUCAAGUUAUCAUGUUAGUCACUUGGAUGACUUAGGCCCUGUUUGGAACUAUAAUACUCCCUCCGUUCCAUAAUAUAAGUCUUUUUAAAGAUUCCACUAAAAAACUACAUACAGAUGUAUAUAAACAUACUUUAGAGUGUAGAUUCACACAUUUUGCUCCGUAUGUAGUCCACUAGUGAAAUCGCUUAAAAGACUUAUAUUUAGGAACGGAGGGAGUAGAUUAUAAUAAUCUAGAUUAUGAAGAUAGAUUAUAUAAUCUGGUUUAUAAAAAUAAUCUAGAUGGACAUGUUUGGAGGCCGGAUUAUAUAAACUGUAAUCCAGAUUUUACAUUGCAUAAUGACCUGUCUGCCCUCUGUUUAAAAAAAAAAAAGGGUGGCGGUGGUAGGAAUGUAAUUAUCUCCAACUUUACAAGGGUAAUAGAUCAUUAGCAAUCCAUAAUCUGAUUUUAGCUGGUAUAGACUAGAUUAUGAGUUUUUAAUAAUAUAUCCAUCUAGUUUUUAUAAUCUACACCAUAAGCUGUCCUGUUUGAAGACAAAAUAGAUUAUAGAAACUGGAUUAUAUAAUCUGGAUGGUUCCAAACAGGGCCUUAGAUGGAGAUAAUGCACACCAUUGAAAAAAUUAUACUUAUAGAUAGGGUCACUUUAGUGGCUGGAAUAGUCUCGGACCUGUCACUCGUACUUCGGUCCAACAACGUACAUGCCAUUGCAAUUUACUGAGCAGGGAUUGCCGCCCGCCACUGAUUUUCUAGUCCCACAUUGGCCAUGGGGAAACCUUUUCAGUGGCGGGCGGUCGGGUACAACCUACCACUGGCAGUGAAGUUGUCACUGGCAGGCACCGGUUUCCUCCAACCAUUAGUGCACCACAUAUGUAAUUUUCUAAUUUCCUGCAUUUGUUUUUACAUUUUAGUGUGGUAUUCUUUUGUGACUUUGUUACUGUAUGAGAAUUGUUUGACCUUUGUAGUAUCUUUAUUUGCUAUAUUUUAGACAUUUUAUUAAUAAAGUUGUAUUUAAUUGAAUAUAAUUAUAUUUUUUGAACUACAACUAUAUAUUUUAAAUUACUUUCAAAGGUUCGAAGACAAAUAUUUAUGUCUCGUGAAACAAUAGUAUUGUUUCACCAAUAUUUGAGCAGUUUUUCAGCAUAUGUAGUUCAUAUUUAAUUUAUGUCCAUUAGAUAAACUAAAAAUGCAUUUAAUGCCCCAAAUAUAUCAUAUAAACCUAGAAACGCAUUUAAUGCCCCAAAUAUAUCAUAGAAAACUAGAAUAGUCCUGAAUUUGACCAAGGAACUUGUAAUGGUGUAUACCAAAAAUAAAAAAAGUUUCUGUUAAAAAAUGAUGAAAAAAUUGUGUUCCCAUUCAAACCCAACAUUUUCCCUUAGAAACGUUGAUACUUCCGUGGAGACUGUUAUUUCUACGUGAAGUGCAUCGGAUUUUUUCUGUGAGUCUCUAAUUUUGUUACCACACCUUCGGUUUCAUAUCAUGACACCAUGCAAAGUUCCAUCAUUUUCAAACUGAAUUUACAUCUAUGUAUAAAAAAAAUCAAUACUCUUAAUAGCUAGAAAUUGAUCUGAUGCUUAAAAAUAGCAAAUCAACCCAAAAGGUGAUAAAGUCUAUCAUGAGUCUUUAUGAAGUAAAUUCAACCCCACAAAAGGUGGAAAUUAAAUUCUACCCCUAAAGCAGUAAAGCAAACAUAUUGCAAAAAAUGCAAAAAAGUAGCGUGCGACCAUAAACACCCUCCAUUGAUUGAUUUUGGUCACAUUCCCGCGAGUGAGUGGGACAUGCCCGCACCUUCAACCUGCAAAUGUGGUUGCCUUAUCCCCCAUUGUCGACCUCUCCCAUCCGACUCUACCCAAUCCCUAGCUUGCAAUCACCAUUGCUGCACCCGUCGUUGUCGCCGGCGAGGGAAUCAUCGUCUUUUUCAUGGGUUGUCAUUGUUGCAACAACCCCGGUCAGCGUGGCCGAAAUGCCCACCCCAUGGCCUCCUCCACCAGCAAUGGUGGCCUAACCCGCUGCCACUAGCCUCCUCUUCCUCCAAGCCCGAUGCCUUUAACUCUCCCCAUGUCUCCUUGCGCGUCGGUGGCCCCAAUCUCCUGGUUGUAUUUUGCAAUUGCAAAGGACAUUGUAUUCGUUGUGAGAUACUUAAAUCUGUUGAAAGGAUAUCGAAUUCUAUAAGCAACAUGCUUCUUGCUUGUGGAAUGUGCAGGCUAUUCUUUCAUGGAAAAUUUGGUCUUAGGAUACUUGGGGAUAGGAAAUAGAGAAUUAAUCAAGGUAGAUUGUUGUUAAUCCAUUUUGCUUCAUAUCCUUCUAUUGAUGUAUGAUUAGCUCGUUCUUUCUAGACUACGCCAUAUACAUCAUUUCUUUAGCAAAUUUAUUUACUCCUGCUUGCAUAACUAUGUCGUAUGCAUCAUUAUGCUUAGCUCCUGCUUGCAAGAUUACUUGAGGAUAAUAGGAAGCAAUUAUGGUUUCAGAAUAAACCAAUCAGAAUAAGAAACACAUCCUCUAUACUCACAUCAUCUUUUAUACCUCAAUGCUUGUAGGUGUAGUGUUUUUUGCCCCAUGCAAAUUUGUGUUACGUCAUCUUUUAGAUACAAAUCAUGGUACCCUUGUUCCUGUCUUGACAUCAUGGUCAUGUUUUAAAAAAAGCAUUUUCUUAUUUAUGUUACACCCCACAUGUAUGUAUACAUAUAUUUCUUUUUUAUGUCUCUUUGAAGGUUGUUAGUGCCACAUGUAGGUGGGGUUGUAUUUUUUUAUUGGUGAAAGUUGUUGGUUCUACAUGUUGUGUCACCUUAUAUAAGGUGUAUUACACUUUAAAUAGUAAUGUGCAUAUCUCCAAAAUUUGUAGGGCUUCAAAAUGAGUGCCAAAAUUCUGGCGAAAUGUUGAUUUAUUUCCAUUUCACCACAUUUUGAGCACUCAAUAUUUUCAAUUUUUUUAGCAAAACUAUGCCCAACUUUUCCAAUGAUUCAUAAUUGUUUACCCUUAUUAUUUUAUAGAUGUACUGGCUAUACUAUAGUGUAUAAAUGAUGCGACGAACUAUGUGUUUUCUAUUUAAUUUCUCAACAUGAAUGUAUGCAAUCAACCAUGUAUACCCAUGAUGUGGUAACAUCAACGUAGGUGUGUGCCACAGGUGCUUAUCAACUCUAAGGAAUUCUACGUAGAUCUUGACGAGAACUUUCCACAGAGGAUUGUACGUUUUAAUUCAACAUGUGUUGUGGAUGCUGAAUUGCUCACAUAUAUAAAAUUACCCAAAAAAUGUCUAUUUUUCAUAUUUCUCCAUGCAUCCCUUGUUAUGCAAGGCUCACUUCCUACAUAAAGUGAACGUGCCAUAGAGGAGAAGGUUACAUUUGAGCUCAAGAUGAUCAUGUUAAAAAAUGGCACAACCUUCAACCUUACGGUCACCAACGAGGCACACGGAACCUUUCAGUUGCCCAUGUUGAAGAGGGAUUGCAACCGAAUAAAUGAUGCAAAAUGCGAAGGCAUUCUUGUUUUUUUAGCGAAGGCGUUCUUUGUCGUUUCUUGGCGAACAAGAUGAUGAUGACAACAUCUAUAUGUGGUUCACACCGCCCCCACCACCAUAGUUGUUCUUGGUGGAAGGAUUCGGAGUUCAUAGGCAUAGUUUUAUCAUGCACUUCAUUUAAUGCAUAUGUUAUAUCUUUUUAUAAUCAUCCAAAUUUAUUCCUCAAAUAACGGCUAUAUCAUUUAAAAUUAAAAGAGAAAUAGAGUUUAGGGGACUAGAAUCCCAAAUAGAAGAGGGUCUAUAGGUAAAACUAGUCUUUGCUAGAGAAUCUGCUAUUUUGCUUCCCAAAGCAAUGGGCAAAAGAUGUGCCAGCAAAGUCCAUCACCAGAAAAUAGCAUUCCACGAUAGUGGCUGCAUCUGGCUCGAAAUUAUUCGUAUGCCAGUUCACAACCUCCACAACUAGGAUACCCAUGAUGUUUCGAUAAUCACAUUAGGUUUCCAUCACAUUAUUGCACACAAUGUUUCCAGCCAAACGAGCCCUUUGCGAAUGGCACUUAACUCUAUCAAAUCGGCACUACUGACAUGAGGCAAAUACCAUGUAACAGUGAAUGACACUUAACUCUAUCAAAUCGGCACUACUAACAUUAGGCAAAUACCAUGUAGCAGUGAAUGGCACUUAACUCUAUCGAAUCGACACUAUCGACAUGAAGCAAAUACCACAUAGCAGCGAGAGAAAGUUGCCUUUGUCAUCACGUACAAUAGCUCCCAUCGCACUCGAUUGUGUUUCAUAACGGAAAGAAGCAUCCACACUAACAUUAACACUUCCCAUGUUAGGUCUCUUCCAUAUAUGAUAUUUUUUUCAUACAGCUGAUUUGAAGUUACUGCUCUUAUGAAAUCUUUGGCCAAAACAUUGAUAGAAACUGCUCCCUUUUAGGGUUUUGGAGAGUGUAGGAUCGAAAGUAUGUCUAGUGGAGGGGGCUUCAUUAGACUACUUGAUAAGAUAAAAACUGAACCUUUUUCCUAAUUUUAGUUGUGGGCUAGUUUUAGCAAUUAUGACUAGUCAAGUUCAUCCUACUCAUGCAUAUCUAAGAUUAUAGCAGCGGAAAGUAAAGACAUGCAAAUGUAAUGAAGAGGGUAAGGUAGGAAGAUCAAAUGCAAAGGUCGACACGGUGAUUUUUGGCGUGGUUCUGAUAGGUGGUGCUAUCGUACAUCCAUAUUAGUGGAGACUUCAACCCACGGAGGGUAACAGCUGCGAGAUUACACAAAGGGCUCCACCCACAAGGGCUCCACGAAGAAGCGGCCUUGUCCAUUCCACCAUGGCUUACGUCCACACAAGACUAACCUCACUCACGGUAGAUCUUCACGAAGUAGGCGAUAUCCUUGCCCUUACAAACUUCUUGGUUCAACUCCACAACAUGAAGUAGGAGGCUCCCAAGCGACACCUAACCAAUCUAGGAGGCACCACCCUCCAAAAGUUAAUAGAUGCAAUAGAAGGAUGAACUCCUUGCUCUUGUGCUUCAAAAGAUAGUCUCCUCAACACUCAAUCACUCUCUCAUAGAUUUUGCAUGGGUAGGAGAGAUUGAUCCCAUGGAAAGCAACUUGGGGAGGCUAGAGAUCAAGUUUCAAAUGGUUGAAUUGGAAUCUCUUGAUCUUAACACAUGCAUGAGUAGGUGGCUUUCUCUCAGAAAUAUGGAUCUGGCAAGUGGGUGUGUGUUCUCAGUGCUUCCUUUUCGAAUGCGAGGAGGUGGAGGGGUAUAUAUAGACAUCUCCCAGAAUCCAACCAUUACCACAUUAUUUCCCAAUGCGGUGACACCGAAAGGAAUCUUAGUGGUACCAAGUUGCAAUAAAUGUGGCACCUUUUGAAUUCUUGGUAGACCAAUAUAUGAAUCUCGAUGGUAAAGAUACGAUGAUCUAGACCAGUUUCCAAAUCUCGGUGAGACCAAUUCCAAUCUCGGAAAUUCUGAUUGUUGGAAUUUUCUCAACAGAAAGUUGGUCAUUGAAUCUCGGUGGCUCUCAUAUGAAAGUUUGUGGUACCGCCAGAUUAGAGUCUGGCAACGGAUCCAUUGGGUGGAAAAUUAGUAGGGCCAAGUGGAAAAUAUUGGUGGCACCGAUUUUGCUCGUUUAGCUUUGGACAGGGAUAUCUUGUGGGAGAAUGGCUUAGUAGUUUUGGUGGCUAUCUCUAAGCACUUGAGCAACCAAUUCACCGUAAUACCUCACCCCCUUUAAAUAGUAUUGGCCUUCCUAUGGACUCAAAGUGAUUUAUCACAUAUGUAAAAUGUAGAGUCUUCUUGCUUGAAGCUUGAGCUAAUCCUAUUCCUUCCUUCAUCAAGGGGUUUCUCCACACAAUCCUUUAGCCAAGGCAUCUUUGAACUUUUCUAAAAUAUACUUGGAUAACAUCAUUAGUCCAAUGAUGCAUAUGUUGUGAUCAAUUAUCAAAACCACCUUAGGGAGCAAUUGUGCUUUAAAUCUCUCCCUUUUUGGUAACUGACGACAACAUAUAGAUCAAAGCUUCAACAAAAGGUAUAAUCAAUUAUUAGCAUCGACGCUUUGAGAAGUACGUGGAAAGCAAGAGAUGCCCCUAUAUUUGUGCAUUAUUUUAUAUUUGCAUUGGAAUGCAAAUGCACAAUCGAUUAGGAUCAUGGGUCACUCUUCCAUGUCACAUAUAGCUUGGUGGUGCGCAUAAAUGAUAUGAAUAAAUAGUAAUGCACAUAACACCAAACAAGCAAGUGAAUGAUCAUCAAGUAGAUGGCUCCAAGGUAAUAACGUGGUAGCAGCAAUCAAACAAAGUAUAGAUCAAACACUUCUCCCAAACACAUAAAGUCAACCAAAAGACCAAAAAAUUGAAAAACCAAAUGAGACCAAAUAAAAUGCAAACCUCUCCCUCUCGAAGACUAUUUGAUCUAUACACUUGUCCUCCUUUGGCGACAAGUUACCAAAAAGUUUGAAGGUCUAGAACUAAUUAUCUCUCUGGCUUGAACUCCUCCGGUAGAUGAUGAUGGAGUGGAUAGGAGAGCGUCGAUGAAGGCUUUUGCACAUGUCCCUGGAGCUGGAGGUGUUGACACUAGAGGUGCAGGAGCAGGAGUUGAAGGUGCUAAAGCUUGAGCUGAUGAAGAUGGUCUUGCUUCCAGAACUGGCAUAGUUGUUGACCUAGUCUGGGUCGUGAACUGAGUAGUAGUAGGAAGAGGCGACUCUUCCUCAUCACUUCUAGAGCGGGAUAUAUGCACAGAAUCAACUUUAUGCUGGAGCUGCUCAACAGUGGUAGUCAACUCCGUUACCUUAACCUCCAAGUCAUGGAAUUUUGUCUCCACGAUCCUCUCAAGUCUCUUCUGGUUCAGCAAGAUCUCGGAAAUUUUCUUCUCCAUCCCUUGGAUGGUACUGACCAAGAAUGACAUCUGCUCAUCUCUGGUCCUGAGCUAUGCGGUUGAAGCUGGAGCAUUCCUAGCAGCCGCUGUCUCUGCUACCUCUGCUGCCGCUUGAGCUGUAGCUGAGCUAGGAUGGCUAGGGUCCAUCACAACUUCAUUAUCUUCAAACUCUGGCUGAAGUGGCAGGUGGGGACGAUCAAGUAGAUAUGCAUGCUUGCCAAUCUUGGCAUUGAUGAGCAUCUGAAUAUAUGGAGCAUAUCCACAGGAUUUCUUUUGAUCUACAGCAGUCUUCCUCACAUGCUCAACUAUCAAGUCCAUCAUUAUGAACCGGAAGUGGGUGUCUAGAUGAUCCAACAUGUUGAUGGAAUAACCUCUAAUAAUCUUAUCCUCUCCUGAUUUGGGCAUGAGGGUGUAUCUCAUAAUGGUGUUUGUAGUAGGUAUCCCUGCUUGCAAGAAAUAGACAAAUCCAAACUUGUACAUCUGCACAUAUUUAUGAGGCACUGGCUUGUACAUUUUGCCGUAGAGUUAUGAUUCAUCUUGGGUUCUGAGUACACAUCCAGAUCUCCUUCUUGUGCCUUUGGAUCACCAAUUGUAGUGGCUCACUCAUACAUAAUAGACUCAUACCGGUGACCUUCAGUCAUCCAUACAAUCCUUCCGUCAGAACAGAAAUUAGCGAUGGAAUAGAAUUGCAUGAUCAUCUCAUCAUUCCAAGCAGUCAUCUCUCUGCCAACAAAAUAUUUAAUAUCGACUAGCCUGAAGUUUUCUCUCACAUGGGGAAAAUAAUGCUCACUGGCCUUGAUAUAUUCCCAAUGGACAUAUCUCAUAUCGCUGACUGCAAGACUCUUAUCAUGAAACACACUCUCAUAGAAAUCUUGUUGCUCCUUUAUGUGAAAGCGGGGAUCAACAACAGUUCUCCGUCUCACAUCAUAUGGAUCAACUGAUCUCCACUUACUCACUCCUUGAUCUCUCCUCUUUUGUAUGUCCUGAGCAGUUGGUGAGCAACAUUGUGUAGUGGCAGAUGAGCUCAAAGCUUCAUUAGAACAGGGGCACCCUCUUCCUCUUCUACCGCAAACUCUCUGGAUGCAGAGCCUUUGUUCCUCUGUGCUGCAGGAAUGUCCUUGGUAGUCUUCUUGGGAGCUACAGACUUCUUAGGAGUUGAGAACUUCUUGGGAGCAGAAGGCUUCUUUGGCAUAGCAUCAACCAUCGGCUUUUUCUUCAUAGGAGGAGGGACCUUAUGUGGAAUUUAUUCCUCCUCCUCAUCAACAACUUCUUCUGGGUCUUCAUAUAUUGAGGUUGGCCUUCCAAUAACAUAGUCAAUUCUCUUUCUUGCUCUCGUAUGACAUGGCUUCUUUGCAAGCCUAGCUUCUGGAGCUUUCAUGUCAGAACGUAUGGCAUAUUCCUUCCUCACAGUCUUCCUGACUGCGGUCUUAUCUUUCUGCUUCUCAGGAACAGAUUCCUCUGGAAUAAAGUCAACAUCUUCUUCAUCCGAAUUGAUCUUCCUUCUGGACCUGGUAGCUGCCUUGGACAAGCUAUGGGAGCUAGGUGUCCCUGGGUCAGAAGGUGUCCUCCUAGGACUAGUGCCUGAAUCCAUCUCAGCACUUGGCUCAGUGAAGUUGUUCUGACUAUCCUCUGAUCCUGACAUACUGUCACAGAGCCAAGUAGACAAUCAAACCCUAUGAAUAGAUAUACAAGAUCUAGAAGGGAUGAGCAUCACAAAAAUCAGAAGUUUUGGAAAAAUCGAACUCUGAAAAGUUAGGUUUAACAUUUAGCAAAAAAGGAUUUGUGUUCCAUCGAGACAAAAAUUUCGGAGGCACCGAUACUGACGUACUAAUUAACAGAAACUUGGCACCCUUUUCCGUUCCACUGAAAAGGAGAACUCACUUUCACCGAGACCGUUCUCGGUAGCCCUAAAAAAUCGUUAAGACCAACUUUUCUAAAUCGGUGACACCGAGAUUCAAUCUUGCGGAUGGCUAACCCUAAGAAUUCCAUUGUUCUCUAAUCUAUGGAAUUUUUCUUCUAGAUAGGAUGAGUGUAGAAGUGGACAAAAUUCAUCAAAACCUUAAUGCACAAGAAUCAGAAUUGGAGCGCAUAAAGGGGUCGGAUCCGUACCCUAGCUUGGUGAUGUAUCCGCUACGGCAACGACGACGGUGAAGAUUCCUGUUGACAACGAAGACUCCGGUGGUGAGGGCGCACGUGAGAAUUAAGGCGAUGUCCACGGGACUAGGGCGCGGCAUCGAGGAUGUGCGUCACGCGACGUUUGAAGUGAUUUUCCAAUCAUCGGGUCCGUGAGAUAUAUAUAUCUCCUAGCUGUCGGUGACACCGAUAUGGAAUUUUUGGUGCCACCGAGUUCCACAACUGUCAACUGAAAGUGAAAAUAGGUGAGGCCGGAAAGAACAACUCAGUCAUACCAAGUUAAGAAAACCUGAUCAACCCUAGGCUUCGGUGGGACCGAGAUUUUGUGGUUGGUCACACCGAGAUGCAAUUUGGGAGGUUUUGGGAUUCAGCACUUGUCGAGACGGAUCUAUCAAGCACUUGUGUCCCUAAAGUUCUUGCUCAAAUUUUGUGUUGUAGCAUGAAUAGAAUUUGAGACGAGAAAGCAUAGAUAGCUAGAGGGAAGUACUUAGGCAUUCUUGUAUAUCCAAUUGGCCAAAUGAAAUAGAAAGACAAAUAACAACAAUUGGAUAUCCUCGAAUGAGAAAAAUAUGCAUACCAACAUGCUCACACAAUAAGGUGUCAAAUAAAACAUGGUGAACAUGCACGAACAUUCUAGCAUCUAUCAAGCACUUUGGCGAUAAGGAAUUCAUCUAUAUAUGAGUAUAUUGACAUAGGAGCCAAGUAAGAGUACUUGACAAUAGGUCAUACUCAUCGAUUAAGAACAAGUGGGGUUAUCACUUUUACAUAAAACAUUAAUGUGCUCACAUCAUUUAGGAGACGCUUAUACUCAAGUCUUAGAGUAAAGCUCCUCCUAGAUGUGACAACCCCCUAAGAGGGAUAAACUAACCUUAGGUUUUGUAGUAGAAGAUUUCAAGUAGGUGUAGUAGUGGUGCAUGCUCAUUGUUGAUAAAGAUCAUCUUUGAGUUGGGAGCAAUCCUAGUUGUUUCUUACCCUUCUCACCUACAUGGGUUAGUCCCAAAGCAAAAGGAAUGUAUGCAAGAAUAUCUAUGGACAUGGCAUGAAGUGCAUGAGAGGUGAUGUAAAAAUAUGCAUUAAUUACCUUGUCCUUUGCUUACCUUUGAGGUAAUGUGUGACUCCUUGAACUAAUGCAUAUGGUUGGAGUUGAUUGCAUAUAGUUCUUGCCAAAAUGAAUAAGAGUGAAUUUGAUUGGUAGAGUCACCCCCUCAAGAAGUUUCUAGUUCUUCAUCUUAGGGACCCACAUCAACUUGAUGGGGAUCCUUGGAGUUGUGAUAGCAGUAGAUGAGGUAGUGUUAGUUGUGUCCAUGGGAUUCCACUCGACCUUGGCUUGGGUUUCUUCCUCAAAUGAUUCAAUCUCCUCUUGAAGCUUUCCCUUGCCCUUGUGAUCUUGUGGUUGAAGGUCAUGUUGAGAGCUUGUUCCCUUGGGAAGAGUAGGAUCAUACUUUUCCUCUUGAGGAACGAACUUCGGUAUGGGAUAUAGACCUUCUUCCCAUUCAUCUCCGUUGGCAUUGAGGUAACCAACACCGUGCUUCUUCCGAUGUCCUCCUAGCUUGCGCAUAAUUUACUCGAAUUGCUAACUUUCGGCAAGACUCUUGAAGACACCUCUCUCUUCCUUUCCAUAAAUCAUUUUCUUUCUCAAGUGUAACUUGGCUAAGAGAAUCAUUAGUGGAAUCAAGAGAGCUACUAGAAACAACAUCAUUUGAUCUAACUUUAGCAUUUUGUUACUAGAUGAAGAAACUUUCUUGCAUUUGUUACUAGUGUUCUUAGGUUUGACUUGUGGAAUAAAAGUAGAUAAGAUUAAUCAUUUGAAUAGAUAAGAAUAACUCUUCUUCCGAAGAUCAUCAUUGAUUGCUCUUAGAAACUCAUGAUCUUGUCCUAAAUUUAGCUUCUCGAAGCAUAACUUCUCAUGAGUUCUUGCAAGCUCCCUUUGAUCUUCUAGAGUAGUUUCACGAGCUAACUUAAGAGUGUUAAAUACUUUAGUUAGUUGUUGAGUAUCUUUCUUAUCAUCAUCAUUCGAUUUCUCUUGACUAGCAUGAUUAUGUUCAAGUUCAUUUUCAAUGUUCUCACUAGUCUUAUCAAGGAGCAAGUCAUCUCCUCCUAACAAGUCAUCCUCAUCACUAUCAGAGUCAAAGUAAUUGGGGUGUGAUACCUUGGGGCCUUUUUCCAUGAAGUUGUUUCCAGUCCCUUCAUUUGGUGAAUCAAAUAAGUCAUAGGAGUUGGAGGAAACGAGUUCAAGACCGACAACACCUUCAUCUUGACUAUAGUCAGAGUUGGAGUGGUAGCUUCUCUCAGAUUGGUUGUCAGACUCGGAGCCGGAAAGCCUUUCACCAACAUGAUCUUGAUGUCUUGUUCUUGAGAUGCUCUUGGUGUACUUGUCCUUCCUCUCCAAUUCCUUUCCUCUCUGGGAGUGUCUUCGUUCAUAAUGAUCUUCUCUAAUCCUUCUCUUUGUGAGAGGUGACUCAUCUCUUGAGCUUCGUCUUCUAGGUGACUAUUCUCUUCUUUUGUGGGGAGCCGAGCACUCAUUGGAAUAGUGUCCUGGGUUUCCAUAGUUGUAGCAGUAUCGGUCACGACUAGACGAACGCUUCUCAUCAUGUAUUGAGCUUGAGCUUCUCUCCUUGCAUCUACUUUUGUAGAACUUGUUCAAUUUUAUGACCAUGAGGUUGAUCUCUUCAUUCGUAACAAAGUUGUCAUUUGAAGUAUCUUGAGUAUAACUUGAAACUCUGUAAGUACCGCUUGACUUGUUGUGCAACUCAUCUUUGUCCUUGAGUGACAUUUCAUGAGCAACAAUCCUUCCAAUAGCUUCAGUUGGCUUGAGAUCCUUGUAGUUUGGCAUCAUUUGAAUUAAUAUACACACGGUGUCGUAUCUUCCAUCCAAGGCUCUAAGUAUAUUCUUGAUGAUGAAUUAGUCGGUCAUCUCUUCACUUUCUAAGUCGGCAAUCUCAGCGACUCCCUCACCAUCCUUCAUCUUGAACUUGUCAAGAUGACUUUGAGGCACAUCCAACUUAGAUUCCAUGACAAAAUCAGCACCUUCGUGCAGAUGAAUCAAAGUAUCCCACGUGCAGAUGAAUCAAAGUAUCCCAAAUUUUCUUUGCAUUCUCAAGGCUUGAGAAUUUUAUUGCAACAUGUUCAAUUCUUCCGAUGUCGCAUCACGAUCCGGUUCCCUUGCUUCUCCAAAUAAAUCACCUUGCACACCAACACGAAUAACAGCCCAAACGGUAGGAUUAUGACCAAGAAUAUGCAUUUUCAUCUUAUGCUUCCAACUAGCGAAGUUUGUACCAUCGAAAUAUGCACCUCUACAGUGAUAAUUUCCCUCACUAGGCGCCAUACUCUCCUAGGUUGUGAAACCAAUGCAAUGGAGGCCAAAACUUUGAUACCACUUGUAGGAUCGAAAGGAUGUCUAGAGGGGGGAGGGUGAUUAAACUACUUGACAAGAUCAAAACUUAGCCUUUUCCCAAUUUUAGUUGUGGUCCAGUUUUAGAAACUACGAGUGGUCAAGUUCAGCCUACACAUGCAUAUCUAAGAGUAUAGAAGCGGAAAGUAAAUACAUGCAAAUGUAAUGUAGAGGGUAAGGUAGGAAGAUCAAACACAAAGGUUGACACAACUAUUUUUGGCGUGGUUCCGAUAGGUGGUGCUAUCAUACGUCCACAUUAGUGAAGACUUGAACCCAUGGAGGGUAAUGACUGCGAGAGUCCACGGAGGGCUCCACCCAUAAGGGGUCCACGAAGAAGCGGCCUUGUCUAUUCUACCAUGGCUUACAUCCACACAGGAGACAAGACUAGCCUCACUCACGGUACAUCUUCAUGAACUAGGCGAUCUCGUUGCCCUUACAAACUUCUUGGUUCAACUCCACAACACGAAGUAGGAGGAUCCCAAGCGACACCUAACCAAUCUAGGAGGCACCACCCUCCAAAAUGUAAUAGAUGCGGUAGAAUGAUGAACUCCUUGCUCUUGUGCUUCAAAAGAUAGUCUCAUCAACACUCAAUCACUCUCUCACAUAUUUGGCAUGGGUAGAAGAGAUUGAUCUUGUGGAAAAAACUUGGGGAGCCUACAGAUCAAGUUUCAAAUUGUUGAAUUGGAGUCUCUUGAUCUCAACAGAUCAGUAGGUUGCUCUCUCUCAGAAAUAUGGAUCUCGCAAGUGGGUGUAUGUUCUGAGUGCUUCCUCUAUGAAAUUGAGGAUGUGGAGGGGUAUAUAUAGGCAUCUCCCAAAAUCCAACCGUUACAACAUUAUUGCCCAACUCGGUGACAUUGAAAGGAAUCUUGGUGGUAUCGAGUUGCACUAAAUGUGGCAACUUUUGAAUUCUCGAUGAGACCAAUAUAUGAUCUCGGUGGUACCGAUACGAUGACCUAGACCAGUUUCCAAAUCUCAGCGAGACCGGCUCCAAUCUCGGAAAUUCUGAUUCUUGGAAUUUUCAUAACAGAAAGUUGGUCACUGAAUCUCGGUGGCACUGAUAUGAAAGUUGGUGGUACCGAGAGAUUAGGGUUUGGCAAAGGAUCUCUCUGGUGGAAAAUCAGUAGGGUCGAGUGGAAAAUAUUGGUGGCACUGAUUUUGCUGGUUUAGCUUUGGACAAAGAUAUAUUGUGGGAGAAUGGCUGAGUAUUUUUGGUGGCUAUCUCUAUGCACUUGAUCAACCAAUUCAUCAUAAUACCCCACCCCUUUUAAUAGUAUUGGGUUUCCUAUGGACUGAAAGUGAUUUCUCACAAAUGUAAAAUGUAGAGUCUUCUUGCUUGAAGCUUAAGCCAAUCCUAUUCCUUCCUUCAUCAAGGGGUUUCUCCUCACAAUCCUGUAGCCAAGGAAUCUUUGAAUUUUUUCCGAAAUAUACUUUGAUAAGCUCAUUAGUCCAAUGAUGCAUAUGUUUUGAUCAAUUAUCACGACCACCUUAGGGAACAAUUGUGCUUUCAGAGAGUUUCACCCCUCACAAACUGUUGUCGUUGCCACCAUAUAAACUAAGAAGCCACUACAAUCAGUUAUGAUGUUGGCAGCUCCCCUACUUUGGAUUGGUUUCUCUCUAAAACCUCAAUAGUUACAGAUCCUGACCGGUCCUCACAAACUGCCUUAUGGAUCACAUCUUUCACUCCAAGCUUUUUCCAAAUUCUAGAAGCACAACAAGAGGUGAAUAAGUAGUUAGAUAUCUUCAAACCCAACAUUGACUAGUAACAUGUAUGUGACAGCCAGUGAGCACUCCAAAGCAUGGUCGAAUUCCCCUCAGAACCUUCCAUGCAAAGGGUUUAACUUUGCGACAAACUCGAAGCCUUCAAGUAUGUUGUGUGUAAGUGUUAAACAUAAGAAAGUUGUUAAACUAAAUUGUGUUCUUAAUUUGUGCUAUAUAACUAGAUAUUGUGCCUUCUAUGAUACUACAAUUACUGUUAAACUGAAAAGCCCGCCACGACAACCAAAAAUGUUGACGUGUUCACUUGGCCUGACAAACAAUACUAGUGGCGGGCAUGUAUAAUAAACUGCCACUGGUACAAACAUUAGCAGUGGUGGACGCCCUGCCUGCCACUGAUGACUGGUUAGUAGCGACAGACACCCUUCACAAUAACCCUGCCAUUGGUAGGCAUUUUGUGUCUGCCACUGCUAGCCUGUUCUCCAGUAGUGACAAGGGUUUUCCUCCAAGACUAUAUCAUUCAUACCUAGUAUGCGUAGGAGUUAUCACCCGAUUUAAUGCAUGCAUGAUAGCAUGAAUCCUUUAGGGAUAAUUUGGAAGCAAGGUAAAGAAAAUGAGGGUAGCAAAUCCUCCCUUAUCACAUGAAUUUAAACAUCCCAUGUUAUUCACUUUAUUAAGUUGCCCCAUUUCAUUAAGUAAAAUUGUGCCCCUCAAAUUCACAAGAUUCCAAAGUUGUGGGAAUGAAAAGUACAAUGAGACGUCCAACUAAAUCAUAUAAUGUUUGUGAAUUUUGAAUCAAAGUUUUUUGAUUGUGCCACAGAAAGAACAAGAAUAUUAUUUACACUUUGUUUGAGCCAAUGCAAUUUUUCUUAUGUAAUGCAAGCAAAAUUGAAUCUGAAGGAGAAAAAUUUCCAAUAGGAUACGACUUUGGGGAUCAAAUAACACCCAUAGUAAAAAAGCAUAGGUCUAUUUAUAUCACAUCUAUAUUAUCUCACAUCUAAGUUAUGACAUCAGCGAAAGUCAAUGCUUUUCCAGCCCACCGCAUUUUCUUAUAUUUAUUUUUUUGCGACAUUUUUUCAUUCGUUUUUUUAUUGGAGCGUGCUAAAAAAUGCAAUAAGACUUGCCUAUGAAUCGAACUCAAGACUAGAUGGUGGUAGUUGAGAGCUCCCACCAGUAUAACCAUUACAUGCAUUUGAUAAAUUCUAAGCGGCAUAUCUUUAAGAAAAUACAACAGAGUUGAUAUUAGAAGAAAUUUUCAAGAAAAAUGUAAAAAAUUUUAAAUGUAAAAUAUUUCUGAAAACCAAAGAAAACUUGAAAUUUCCAAAGUAUUUUUCAAAUAUAAAUAAAGUUUGUAAUGCCAAACAUUUUUUGAAAAAUUAGAAAACAAUUUGAUAUUCCGAUUUUCUUAAAAAAGAUGACACUUUUUGAAAAAUUCCCGAACAAUUUAUAAAUCAGGUACACCUUUUAAAAUUCCAAUUCCUUUAAAAAACAUGGUUAAAUGAAUAUAUUUUUAUUGUAAUCAUAACUUUUCAACAAAUGUUUUUUUGCACCAUUAAAAGAAUGAGGGUGCAAAGAAUGUUCAUGUAGUUCACAAGAAUGUCCGUGAUGUUUAAUAAAAAUGUAUUAUACAAUGGAAAAUAAUCAUAACAUUCAAAUAAUUAUUAUUUACAAUCUUUUAAAAGAAACUUCACGCAUUUAGAAAAAUCAAAACAUUUUCUAGAAAAAAUAUUUGUCCGAUGUAAAAAAAAUGUUCACGUAUUUUUUUAAAAAUCAUACAAUUUAGAAAAAUGAUUUAAAAAAUGUUUACCAUGUAUUCUAAGAAUGCUUGGGCCUGUACUUGGAAAAAAAUAUUCAUCAUGCAUUUUUAAACAAUGGUAUGUGUGUUAAAAAAUGUUCCUAGUGUAUACAUGAAAAUGUACAAUGUGCAUUACAAAAGUUGACAUGUAUUUGUGAAAGCUAAAUUGCUCCCUAAGGUGGUUUUGAUAAUUAGUCACAUCAUAUGCAUCAUUGGACUAGUGAGUUUAUUCAAAUGCAUUUAAAAAAGUUCAAAGAUGCUUUGGCUAUAGGAUUCUGUGGAGAUACCCCUUUGAUGCAAGGAAGGAAUAUGAUUGGUUCAAGCUUCAAGCAAGAAGACUCUACAUUUUAUACUUUGUGAGAAAUCACUUUGAGUCCAUAGAAAAGCCAAUACUAUUAAAAAAGAGUGAGGUGUGAUGAUGAAUUGGUUGCUCAAGUGCUUAGAGAUAGCCACCAAAAAUACUGAGUCACUUUCCGACAAAAUAUAUAUGUCCUAAGCCACAUAAGCAAAAUCGAUGCCACCAACAUUUCCUACUCGUCCAUACCGAUUUUACACUUAGACAAAUUAUAUGCCAAACCCAUCAUCUCGGUACAACCAACAUUCCUAUCGGUGCCACCGAGAUUUGGUGACCAACAUUCUGUUGAGAUGAUUUCAAGUUUCGGAUUUUUUGAGUUUGAAUUUUGUCUCACCGAGUUUUGGAAACCAGUCUAGGUCAUCGUAUCGGUACCACCAAGAUUCUUAUAUCGGUCUCACCGAGAAUUCAAAAGUUGCCACAUUUAGUGCAACUUGGUACCACUGAGAUUCUUUUUGGUGUCACCGAGUUGGGCAAUACUGUUGUAACGGUUGGAUUUUGGGGGAUGCUUAUAUAUACCCCUCCACCUACCUCUCAUUCGUAGAGGAAGCACUCAGAACACACUUACACUUGUGAUAUCCAUUUUUCUGAGAGAGAGACACCUACUCAUGUGUUGAGAUCAAGAGAUUCCAAUCCAUUCAUUUGAACCUUGAUUUCUAGCCUUCCCAAGUUGCUUUCCACAAAAUCAAUCUCUCUUACCCAUGCCAAAUCUAUGAGAGAGUGAUUGAGUGUUGAGGAGACUAUCUUUUGAAGCACAAGAGCAAGGAGUUCAUCGUUCUACCACAUUGAUUACCUUUUGGAGGGUGGUGCCUCCUAGAUAGGUUAGGUGUCUCUUGGGAGCCUCUUACUUCGUAUUGUGGAGUUGAACCAAGAUGUUUGUAAAGGCAAGGAGAUCGCCUACUUCAUGAAGAUGUACCGUGAGUGAGGCUAGUCCUUCGUGGGCGGAAGCCGUGGUGGAAUAGACAAGGUCACUUCUUCGUGGACCCCUUGUGGGUGGAGCCCUCCGUGGACUCUCGCAGCCGUUACCCUCCAUGGGUUGUAGUCUCCACUAACAUGGACGUACGAUAACGCCACCUACCGGAACCAUGCUAAAAAUCUCCGUGUCAACCUUUGUGUUUGAUCUCCCUACCUCACCCUCUACUUUUUUUUGAUGGGAAACUGUAAGCAAAACCCCUCACAACGAGUUUUUUUUGAAAUAAUAAGAACUCAAAUUCGCGCCCGUGGGGACUUGAACGUGGGUGGCUGGGUUGUACAUCUACUCCACUAGACAAGUGAGCUAGGCUCACUUCCUUUACUCUUGCAUGUUUUACUUUCCGCUGCUAUACUCUUAGAUAUGCAUGUGUAGGGUUUACUUGACUAGUUAUAGUUGCUAAAACUGUCCCACACUUCAAAUUGGGAAACAACUAAGUUUUUAUCUUGUCAAGUAGUCUAAUCACCCCGCCUCUAGACAUACUUUCGAUCCUACAAUUUGGAAAAAUAACUAUAUAGGGGUACUGGGUUGGGAAUGAUUUGCAUGAGGAGAGUGGACAUGCAACUAUGUCGGACAUGAGCUGCAUGACUGAGUCGGGUGGGUUUACGUGUUGGGGUGGAAUGGAACUAGAUAGGGGCCGAGGCAAGUUGCGUGUUGAAAAACAAAACACAAGCUUACUUGUGCAUUAAGGGUGGACUUGCAAUUGGAAGAAGAGCUAGGUUGUGAGUGGAGGAUAGACUUACAUAUGGGACAACUACAAAUUGAGACCAAUUGCGUGUCAAUGGUUGACUUAAAACUGGGAUAAAACAAACUAUGGUUCAAGUUGCGAGUUAACGGUGGAUUUGCAACUAGGAUGAUGACAAAAAUAUAGGCUCACUUGCGAGUCAUUUGUGGGCUUGCAACUGGAAUAAAACAAACUAUGAGACUAGUUGCGAGUCGAUGUUGGACUUAUAACCGAGACAAGCAUAUAAACUAUGAUACGAGUUGAGAGUUGAGAGUAAACUUGCAAUUGAGAUGAAAAACAAAACACAUACCCAAUUGCGUGUCGAGGAUGGACUUGUAACUGAGAAAACAAAAAUAUGGGCCCGACUGCGAAUCGAGGAUGGACUUGCAACAGGGACAACAAAAAAACUAUGAUCCCACUUGUGAUUCGAGGACAAACUUGCAAUUGAGGCCCCUACAAGUACAAAGCCCUUAGUUACGAGUUGAGGUUGGAUUCGCAACUCGGGAAACUACAGGUACAGAAAGCCCAGUUGCGAGUCGAGGAUGGACUUGGAACCUUGAAAAUACGACUACAAAAAAGCCUCUGUUCCGAUUUGAGGGUGGACUUGCAACUGGGGCAACUACAUGUACAAAAAGGUCCCAGUUGUGAGUCGAGGGUAGAUUUUCAACUACGAUAACUACAGGUACAAACCUCGAGUUACGAGUCAACGGUGGACUUGCUACUAGGGUACCUAAAAUUACAACGCCUCGAGUUACGAGUCGGCGAUGGAGUUGAAGCUGGUGCACCUACAACUACAAAGCCUCGAGUUGCGAGUUGAGGAUGGACUUGCAACUAGAUUAACUACAAAGUACAAAAGAAAACCAGUUGUGAGUCAAGGGUUGACUUGCAACUAAGACAUCCACAGUUACACAAAAACCCCUAGUUGCAAAUCAAGGAUGGACUUGCAAGUGGAGCAACAAUAGGUACAAAGCCAGUUGUGAGUCGAUGGUAGACUUGCAACUUGGCCAACCACAACUACAAUACCUUCAAAAGAAGGGUGAAACUAUGAAAUUGGGAUGAAACCAACUAUGGGACCAGCUGCGUGUCGAGGGUGGACCUGGAACCGGGAUAAGAAAAAAAGUACAAGCUCAAGUUGUGAACCGAUGAUGGGGUUGAAACUCGAACAACUACAGGUUCAGUUACGAGUCGAUGAUGACUCCAAACUUGCACAACUACAAAACUAGGAGCCCAGUUGCGAGUCAUGGGUUGAUUUGCAACUAGGAUAAAACAAACUACUGGACCAGUUGCGAGUCAAGGGUGGACCUGCAACCGGCAUGAGAAACUAAACACAGUCUGAGUUGCGGCUCAAGGGUGGGCUUGAAACUGCUAUGAAACAAACUUCAUGCCUAGUUGCGAGGUCAGGAUGUACUUGUAACUGGGACAACUACAUGAAACUAAGAUAUGAGUUGCAAGUCGAGGGUGGACUUGCAACACGGACAAACUACACAAAACUACGAUACGAGUUGUAGUCGCGAGGGUGAACUUGUAACUGGGACAACUACAAAACUACGAGUCGAGUUGCAAUUCAAGUAUAUCAUUGCAAUUGGGAUGAAACAAACUACGGGCCUAAUUGCGAGUCAAGGGUGAACCUGUAACUGGGAUGAAAAACUACACAUAGACCGAGUUGCGAGUCAAGACUAGACUUGCAUCUAGGAUGAAAUAAACUACGGGCCUAGUUGUGAGUCAAGUGAGUACUUGCAACUCGGGAAAAUACACAAAACGACUACGAGUAGCGAUUCAACAGUUGACUUGCAACUCGGACAACUAAAUGAAACUACGAUAAGCGUUGCGAGUCCAGGGUAGACUUGCAGCUGGGACAACAAUAAGGCUAUGGGCUCAGUUGCGAUUCGAAGGCAAAUUUGCAAUUGGGACAACUACGAAACCAUGAGCCCAGUUGUGAGUCAAGGGUGAACUUGCAACCAGGAUGAAACAAACUACAUGCCUAGUUGCGAGGCAAGGGAGGACUUGCAACUCGGCAAGUACACAAAACUACCAUACUAUUUGGGAGUCAAGGAUGGACUUGCAACCGAAACAAUAACAAACUACGAGCCCAGUUACGAGUUGAAUGUGGACUUGCAACUAGGAUGAGAAAAACACAUAAUGAUUUAUGAGUUUAGGGUAAACUUGUAACUAGGAAAACUAAAAAUUCAUUUACGAGUUAAAGAUGGACUCUACAAAUUCUCGGUCAUGCCAAAAAAACACACAACGAAAAUGAACAAAAAAUAUAAAGGGAUCGCGCCUCCCAAGCAACGAUAAAAGUAACAUGAGAACAUGCGAGCAUAAAACAAAAUGGAACAAGAGGACGCGCGACAAGAGAGAAAGAGCUGACACGGACGCACAUGAUCGACUUUGUGCAAACAUCAAACAAAUCAGAUGAUUAUAACUUGAUAAGACAUCACUAAAUCUCAUCUAAAUAAGAUUUAGCAAAUCUAAAAAAUAUCUAGUUACACUCUCCUCUACUACACAGUCAAACUAAAAUAAACAUAUAACCCACAAAAAGCUAGUACACACAACGUAAAAGGGCACACUAAAAAAAGUCAUAUAUGACCUCACUGCUUAACGAGGAGCGAAUGAAAAACACGACACAUCAACAAUGAAAGUGAAUCAUAAGCAUAUGAAUCAGAUGAGACGUUGUUAACUCACAUUUACUCCCUCCGUACCUAAAUAUAAGUCUUUUAAUAUAUUUCAUUAGGUGUCUACAUACAAAGCAAAAUGAAUGAAUCUAUACUCUAAAACAUGUCUAUAUACAUUUGUAUGUAGUCCAUUAGUGCAACAUCUAGAAAGACUUAUAUUUAGGAACGGAGGGAGUAGAUGAGAAUUAGACGUGAGUUAACAAAAACAAUAAAAAAAGAAACCCCUGGAUCAUACCGUAGUGACCCACCAAAUGACGCACGUAGAAGUAGGUAAGUAAGUAAGUAUCUUGGAUUACCUGCGAUAGUGGGAGCAGAUAGGAGUGAAAGCUUUGAAUACUUUUGUGACAAAAUCAAGAAGCUUCUGAAGGGGUGGAUGGAAAAGCAACUGUCAACAGGAGGGAAAGAAAUCUUGUUAAAAGCAGUGGCUCAAUCCAUCCCUGUCUUCGCUAUGUCAGUUUUCUGUUUGCCUAAGGGAACUUGCAAGGAUAUCACGGAUGUAAUUGCUCAGUAUUGGUGGGGAGAUGAUGAAGAAAACAAAAAAAUGCACUGGUUCUCGUGGUGGAAACUAUGCAUCCGAAGUGUGAUGGUGGCAUGGGUUUCCGCGAUCUUCACUCUUUUAACUUGGCCCUUCUUGCGAAACAAUGUUGGAGAUUGAUCACAAGGUCGGAGUCCAUCUGUGCUCGCAUCUUGAAGGCAAAAUACUACCCAAAUACAGACUUGCUACACGCUGGACCAAAGAGCGGAUCUUCGUUCACAUGGCAAAGCUUGAUGGCGGGCUUGACUGCGUUUAAAAGAGGGUACAUUUGGCGAAUUGGUUCGAGGGAAAAUGUAAGUAUAUGGAAUGAUCCAUGGAUACCCUCAAGCCCGGACAGAAGGGUGAUAACUCCUCGGCGGCAGAUUCUGAUUUCGAGGGUGGUAGAGCUCAUUGAUCCAGUCACCGGCCAAUGGGAUGAACAAUUGAUACGAGACAUCUUUUACCCAGUCGAUGCAAACAGAAUCUUGCAGAUACCUUUAAAUUUUCAAGCAUUUGAUGACUUCAUUGCGUGGCACCUCACAAGGAAUGGUAUUUUCUCGGUGAGGAGUGCUUAUCAUGAACAAUGGUCACAUAAGCUCAGGGGUCAAUCCCUUGUGAAUUCAGUGUCCACCAGUACUAUGCAGGCAGCUAUUUGGAAGAAGCUCUGGGAGUUACAAGUGCCAUGGAAAAUACAGAUUUUCUUUUGGCGGGCGUUGCGUGGAAUUGUACCACUAAAAUCCAUUCUUGCUAAUAAGCACAUCCCUAUUGAUGGGGAGUGUCCGGUGUGCCAUAGGGGACCUGAAGACAUGCGGCAUAUGUUAUUCCAGUGUGAUUUGGCGAGAAGGUUGUGUGCUGGACUAGGGCUGAUUGAUCGUAUUGAACAAGCAGUUCAAGUGGAUCGCUCAGGGUCAGCCAUCUUAGAAUUUCUCCUACUAGAGCUGGACCAACCAAUGUCGAUCAUGUCAAGUAUUAAUGACAAAGAGGUAAUAGCGGCUGGCUGCUGGUAUCUCUGGUGGCUCCGCCGGCGACACACCCAUCAUGAUUCUUGCCCUCCAUCCUUCAGGUGGCAUACCUCAAUUCUAGCAAUAGUGGGAAAUUACAUAAAAUCUUUAUCAAAGAAGAGGGAACCGGUGGAACACAAGUGGAAGAGACCAGAGGCAAGAUUUAUAAAGCUAAAUGUGGAUGCUUCAUUCCAUUCAGAUGAAGGAUCGAGUUCUACUGCAGGUAUCUUACGAGAUGAAAAGGGUGGCUUUAUUGCAGGGUUUUGCAGAUUCAUUCCCUUUGCAGCUGACGUUGUCACGAUUGAAGCAAUGGCAAUGCGAGAUGGUUUACAUUUGGUGAACUCCUUGGGCUUUAACAGGGUAGAAGCGGAAUCAGAUUCUUUGAGCGUCAUCAAGUGUUGCCAAGGGCAAGAUCAGUGGUGGGAUGCAGCAGCGGCUGUCUUUGCUGAGUGCAUAGAUAUGGCUACAUCUAUAGGAAAGGUCAUCUUUUCUCAUUGUUUUCGUGAAGCUAAUUCAGUAGCUCAUGAGCUAGCAAAGUUUAGUUUCUGUAAUAAAGUUGAGCACAAUUGGACUAAUGAACCUCCUGAGUUCUUAGUUAGCCAAUUGAUGAAUGAUGUUUUGAUUAUUUGAGUUAAUAAAGCUAGCCAUGAUGGCCUUUCCUCAAAAGAAAAAAGGAAACGCAUGUACGCGACACUAGAUGCAGCAACAAAAUAAUCCAUGAUUAAGAUUUGAAAAAAUGUAAAACAAACAGAUGAGAGUAUGUUUUUCAUGAAUAUUAAAAAAAAUGGAAAACAAGAAAAUACAAAUAUAAAUAAAAGAAAACCAGGAAACUAAAAUACUUGAUAAUUUGAAACAAAUAAUAAAACAGAAAAAAGAAAAAGAAAAAGAAGAAACAACAAAAGUAAUGCGGCAGCCGAUAUAGGCUACAGCCCAUAUAACAAGAAGAACCUAUAGGUACGAGGGCAGCUACCUAACAUACCGUUGGCGAUCCUAAAAAAAGUGAUCCUCAAACGCAACAUUCGUUUCUUCAAAAACAGGGUUGGGGGGGGGGGGAUAACAUAGUGUAUGAAACAGAACUACUAGACGGAUGAAAAAAGCAAAUCAAUCCGUGGUUGGAUGAUUGGAGAGACAGUGAUAUCCCAGCACAUCAGGGUUUAAAUCCUGAUGCUACACUAUUUUUAAAUUUAUUUCAGGAUUUCCGACAAUAUGCUUUCAGUGGGAGGAGACAUUCCCGUCGAGGAUAAGAUGCCUACAGUGACUUUGUAAAUCUCAAGACGAUAUACUCGCUCAGUCUUUGAGAGAUGUUCAUAGGGAUAAGAUGUGUGUAUGUUCGGUUUAGGAGUUAAAUCUGAGAUAAGUAUUUUACAUCUAGAUGUGAAAUAGCAAUUUCAAAAAUUCAUAUGAAAAAUCUCUGAAUGAAAAAGACUCAUUAACUUAGAAACUCCAUGCAAAAAUACAAGGCUAACUUUUUUUCUCUUAAAUAAAAAAGAAAAAUAGAGAAAAAUGACGGAGGAUAACACUUGGCAGUGGGCGGGUGAAACACAUCACAAUUUUAUUUUCAAAUUGAUCUCUAACCAGGAAAAUACCCCGCGCAUACAACCAAGACCACGCACUCACCCCAUCGCAUGGCCUCCACACGCCUUGUCGAUAUCCAUGGUGGCAUCUAGCGCCGGCCGGGUGGCACGGAUCCCCCUUCACUCCCUCAGCGUGUGAACGUCGUCGCUCCAGCCCAACCGUUGCUCGUGUUCAGGAUAAGCUGCCCAGCUCGUCCGCCCUUCUUAUUGCCGCUGCUUCUCAGCUCACACGCUCCAACACUAUCCUCUCGUGUCUCGUCGAGCUAUCUGUCCACGGAGUAGUACCUUCCCGAGCUAGCUCGCAGCUCCGCCGCAAUGGCCACCGUGGUGAGCAGCCUCCGCUUGCCCUUCUCCGUCUGCGCCGCCGCCCCCUCGGCGCCCAUGGCAUCCCGCGUCGCGCUCCCGCUGUCGUCGACGGCUGCCAGGGGCAUGAGGCUCCGCGCGCAGGCGACGUACAAGGUGAAGCUGAUCACGCCGGAGGGCGAGGUGGACCUCGAGGUCCCCGACGACGUCUACAUCCUCGACCACGCCGAGGAGGAAGGGAUCGACCUGCCCUACUCCUGCCGCGCCGGCUCCUGCUCCUCCUGCGCCGGGAAGGUGGUCUCCGGCCAGCUGGACCAGUCCGACCAGAGCUUCCUCGACGACGACCAGAUCGAGGCGGGGUGGGUGCUCACCUGCGCCGCGUACCCCACCUCGGACCUCGUCAUCGAGACACACAAGGAGGAGGAGCUCACCGCUUGAAUUCACUGAUUUUGUGUAUUUCCAUCCGUUUCCGGCGUGCGCGUGUAUAUGCACGAUGCAUGAACUGUAUCAGGAUAUUGAGGAGUUACAGAGUAAUUAGUACUUGCUG